rnacentral:lncRNA from 1 species
UAUUGAUGCACCUGAAGGAUUUCUCUUUGAAUGGUGGUCCGUCUUUUGGGACAUCUUCAUUGCACGGACAAAUGAGAAACAUUCUGAAGCAGCUGCAGCCUAUAUUGAAGUUUCUGAAAUAAUUGUUUUUCUUUGUAGUGUUACACAUCAAUUGACAUAUUCUUCAAAAUGUCAUAUUUGUGUAUGGAUUUUGUUUAACUUGUUCUAAUACAUGUUGACAUCCAUUUGACAAACAAAUGAAAGCAAGGAAGAAACAUAUUCUUCAAAAUGCCAUAUUUGUGUAUGGAUUGUGUUUAACUUGUUCUAAUUCAUGUUGACAUCCAUUAGACACAACAAAUGAAAGCAAGGGAGAACCAACACCAGCUUCAAAUGCAGCACCUGCAACUCAUGCAGCAGCGCCAUGGCCAGUUACAGCGAAGGGAUUCUAAUCAUCCUCCCAUCGGUGGUCCCAU